CAUAAGAGCAUGCUGUGGUGCUGGAUUUGCUAAUUUGAUGUUUCUUAGUUUUAUUUAUGACACAUGUUUUCCGAGCAGAAAAAUGUUCAGCGUAGCCUUUAUAUGGUAUUUGUCCAUAAACUUGCAAACUGAUCUCUAGAUCUUGAAAUAAGAGCAUUCUUUUAAAAUUUGACUUCAGAUAGUUGAUUGUUUGAUCAUCAACUGGCAUGCCCUUCCUCUUCCCUUCUUGCUAAAUUCCCAUUGUUGGGAUAAUUCUCUUUUCCUUUGGUAAUUCUUUAAAAGAGCCGUAUUGCAUUUACUGCCAUGUAAAAAGUCAAUAUUAUGUUGCAACCAUUUAUUCUUCAGAGUGACACAUACUACAACAAACUAGCUACAAUUUAGCUUUUGAAAGGCCGAAUCCAUAACACUUGGGAAUUUAUUGCCUGUCAGUAUGUGUGUUCAGUAUGGCAAUAUUGGUAAAUUCUGCCACUAAAUUGUUAGUGUGUGUAAUUUCCUCUUUCUGUUUUCUAGUUAAAGUUCAGCUCCUAGCAUAGCCUUCCACACAAUACUCUGCAGUUGAAUGGACUGGUUAAAUGGGUAUCCUCUUUAUUAGAAGCAAAAUGAAGCUACCAACUUCUAGAAUAUGGAAGCAUUUGCACAAUACAAGUUAUUCUGAUAAAAUAAAUAUUGUUUGGAAAUGCCGUGGAAAGAAAUAUGUAUUUCCAGAUGCUACAAAAAUGACUAAACAUAUCCAUGUAUAUACAACGUGUCCUGUACAGACUAAGAAAUGCAUAAUGGAUUUAUAUUGGGGAUGCUAUGAUAAUGUUAGUCCAGGUAGCAACUCCCGGUGUUCUCAGUCAGGAGGUUCUCCUUCUGCCAUGUCUAUAACAUUAACAAAUUGUGCAAAAGACUCUUCAACAUAUGAUAUCUGAAGAUCAGAGGGAUGAAGUAAGCAAGCUCUUGCCAGAGAAAUAUCUAAUUCUGGAAUGCCAUUGUACUGUGGAAAUACAUUGUGACAAGAACCUAUUCUAUGAGCAAGCUUGUUUCAUACUAAAAAUUUGUGACAAACUGCAGUGAACUUUGUGUGAGGAAAGAAGCAAUGGGUGGACAGAUAGCUUUUCAAAAACAUCUACAGUUAGAGAUCUUAAAGUAUACAAAGUAUCUGGGACACCAUCAUCAACAACAAUGCUUUUUCAGGAUUAACAGCAGAACCUGAAAAUUCUCAGCCAGUUAGUUCAGUUGAACAGGACAGUAUGCUUUCAUCAGGCAAAACUUUCACUUUUAAAAAUUUAUAGUGAUGGUUCCAGAAAGGCAGAAAAAACAGAUAGCAAUAGCUUUGACAUAUGGAGACAAAUCAUGUUGCAAAACAGCAGUGGGAGUCUCUGCUUGGAGAGCUGGUGUGCAGUAAUGGUUUGAGUGGGGGACAGAAGUGACCAGGGCGCAAAUCCCUGCUUAGCCAUGGAAACCCCCUGGGUGAUCUCUGAGGGAAGCUGUGGCAAGCUUCCUCUAGAUAGAAGUUAAGAAAAUAUAAAAAUUUUACAAUGUAUUGUUAUAUAAUGACCAAGGUCAUUCUUUAUUUUAAUACCAUGGACAGACAGAUAGGUUUUUUGGGGGGAGGGGGACACUGUAGAAGAAUUUCUGAAAAGUUACAUUUCUAGCUAAGAGUCUGUACUUGUUGGUCAUGCACAAACAUAAGGAAGCUUUGUGAAAUUCACUUUGAAUCAUUUUUCUCUAUACAGUAAAGAACAACAAGCCCUAGACCUACCUUAGACCCUUCCCUAUAAUAACAGUAGUUGAUUGUUGGGAUCAAGCAAGGGUAAUGUAUAACUGUUGCCCUCAUUCGCUUACUGUUCUGAAAGUUAAAUACUCUCAGUAUACAGAACAUGGGUUUAGACUACUUAACUACAAUAUGUUUCUAUGGUAACUGCUUUUUAGAUUUCAUUGGAAUUUUGAGCAAUGAAGUAAUUUGUCCAAAAUAACUUUCAUCAAAAGCUACUCUUAAGCAUAAGGAUUAAGGUAGUUGGGCUUUAUAUGAGAUGUAAACAUGGUUUGAACUUGAUGGAUCAACUUUUUUUUGUACAAAAUUGAAGGUGAUGUUGGAACACAAGCAAAAAAUACAGGUUGAGCCUCCCUUAUCCUCAGUAAUCCAAAAUAUUCUGAAAUCUAAAACUCUCCAUGUAGGUAGCUGAGAUGGUGAUACUUUGUUUUCUGGUGGUUCAGUUUAUGAACAAAUUAAAUACUGUGUUUAAGAUUGCCUUCUGGCUAUGUGUAUAAGGUACAUACAAAACAAAUGAAUUUCAUGUUUAGACUUGGGUCACAUCUCCAACAUCUCAUUAUGUAUAUGCAAAUAUUCCAAAAUCUAAAAAACUCCAAAAUCCAAAACACUUAUGGUCCCAAGCAAUUCAGAUAAGGGAGUCUCAACCUGUACUAAAAGUCUGUUGCAGCCUUGGUUCAACCAUUCUGUUAUCAGUUUCCAUUUAUUGAAAUAAAAAUUGUGAACAAAGAAA